CCUACGGGUGGCCGGAAGAGGGGAUCUGGAGAAAAAGCAUCGGCUAACGCCGGGCCAGCAGCCGCGGUAAGAAGGAGGAUGCGAGCGUUAGCCGGAUUUAUGGGGUUGAAAGGGUGCGCAGGCGGCGUGUCAAGUCAGCGGUAAAAUGUCGGGGCUCAACCCCGGCCGGCCGUUGAAACGGGCGUGCUCGAGUUGGAGAGAAGUAUGCGGAAUUCGUGGUGUAGCGGUGACAUGCCUAGAUAUCACGAAGAACCCCGAUUGCGAAGGCAGCAUACCGGCUCCACACUGACGCUGAGGCACGAACGCGUGGGUAUCGAACAGGAUUAGAUACCCCAGUAGUC
rnacentral:rRNA from 1 species